CAAGGCGGGGCUCGCUGUAGGCUGGAGUUGCAGUCCACUAAGAGCAACAAGCAGCUCUACCAUAACCCUUGAAAAGGGAAGCUCUGGGUUUGGAGUCAUUGGGGAACUGGCCAGUUUCUGAGGUGCGAAUGCAUUUGUUGGUCUGAAGUCUGCAAUCAAAUCUUGACUAAGAAGAGCCAUUUAAAUCAUGUUUUUUGUGGGUUAGAAGGAUUUUUCCAUUUUCAGAAGUCAAAGGUUCUUAUUGAACAUGCUCACAAAUGGCAUGCUAAUGCCAUAAGAGGUAAAGAAUGGCUGCAGUGGGGUUUUUUUGUAUAAGAAAAAUCAAAAUUCAGUCCAGUUGAUCAAUGUGUAAAUGGGAGUAGAAAGCAAAAAUUCCUCUGAAAAUGGGUAAAUUGUAUGAAUUUAAAAAUAAGACUUUUGGAAAAGUCAAAUUGUGUUUAAAUUUCAUGACCUGUGGGAACUGGUCACUGCUGUGGCUCACAGCCCUACUCAUCCUUGAUGGUAGUAUGAAAGUGUCACAGAAUAUUGAAAUUUUGUUGGAAAAACAUGGUUAGUAUUUGUUGCUUUUUGUAUCAAGUGAACAUAAAGCAAGUUGCUUGCGUACUAAGUAUCUGGAAAGUCACUUAUUUCCUAGGUUUUUUUAUUAAUAGUUAACACUGGCAUAGUAGAAAUUUAGAGGCACUGUCCCCUUUCAAUUCAAAAGGUAGUAAUAGUUUCAGAAACUCUUGUCCCGAGUCUACUGACUUUGUGGUUUUUUUCCUCCUCCCUUGCUGCUGUGUGAAAUAUCCAGGCCAAGGAGGGAAGAGAAGUGAAGCACCAAAACUAGCUUCCCCUAACAGGCUGUCAAAUGUAUAAAGUGAACAGAUGGGGUUUUUUUUUUCUUCAUCUCUUCCAGUUACAAUAAGCUUGGUGUAGUGGUUACAAGGCUAGACUUUUUUUUUUAAGUCCCUUUAAGUUGAUUGUCCCUUUUUUCCAAUGAAUAGUACAAAUACAAACUAAAAUCAAAACUUGGGGGGAAACUUUCAUAGGCAAAAAUUAACUGUUACCACCCUUCCUGAUGAGUACCACACAAGCAGUCCUAAAAGGAUUUCAACCUAAGCCCUCACUGCAUUGGGGGCUUGCAGCUCUCUGCUAUAAGUGCUCAGAACAGCUCUCUCUUUGUGAUGGUUCCCUCUUAUUUUAAGAUAGCACUGUGACAUCUUAAGUACAGUUUUCUAAGUGGAAUUAACAUGUUGGAAAAGUGUACAACUAAAUCUUCCAUGGUGAAGGGGGAAAUCUGAAUCUCUCCCACCCUUUUAUCCUGAACUCAGUGCAGGGUAAAAAAGAGGGAUAGGGCUGCAUUGUCAUUUCAGUCCUGUACAGGAGACAUUCUGUGGCAUACUGCAGAGAUGAAGGCACAAGAACUAUAGCAAACUAUAGAACCAGAUCCUUAUCUAAUGUGAGUUAGCCUAAUUUCAUUGAUUAUACUGCUGUUACUCGGCUCUGGCUCACGUUUUUUAAAAAAAAAAAGGUGUAACUACAGAAUGACAAUGAUGUAUCCAUAUUCAGUCAAUACCAACUGUUUGCAGCAUCUACAAUAUUAAAAUAAAAAUUGAAGGGUUCAUAACUUCUCAUUAGGCCAAGUUUUGGGAGAUAGUAGGCUUGAUUCUGAUCUUACACUGGUUUAAGACCCUUAAGUUGACAUACUCCAGACUUGCUGAUCUCACAUAGAUCAAUGUAUUAGUCUCCUUCACUUUAAUGCUUUAUAUUCAGACUUCAUUGUCUCUCUCAACUUAGCUGCCAGGUUUUCAAAACAUUAAGGAUUUACCUGCAUGAAUUCCACUAUAGUGCCUUAACCCUGUUGGAAUUGACAGCAACAAGGGUCAGGUUCAAUAUCUAAGGGUUUCUCCAACAAAACCAGCUUGAGUCAUCUCUCUUCUCCUUCCUUCCCCCCAUAACCUGGGACAAUUACAGCCCAGCCAUGAGGCAGUGCUUCCCCUCUCAGAAACAGAGUGUGAGUGUAAAAAAGAAACUUUAAUAAAAGGAGGAACAUAACCUGGCUUUAAUUUGGGAAAACAAACAGGGUUCAUAAACAUAAACCAUCUGCAAAAGACCCACCCCCAAAUAAGUUUGGCAGUGUCCUUUUCAGUCUAUCAGCCAAAAGUCCCUUUAACAUGCCUGUCUCAUCUCUGCACCCCACUCACAGUUGUCAUCCUUGGUCAGUGCAGAGUCCGGAGGUGCAUCUGCAGAGUUCAUCUCCCGCCCUGGUUGGAAGUACAGUAAGAAGGCACUUCACUUGUUCUGCUGCCUGGGCACUCGCUCACCACCCUUCCAGCUGAUCAGUUAAAGUUGCAUGUGCACUGCCCUGGAACAGAACCCAACUGGCAUCCCAUCCUGGACACUGAGCGAAGCAAGGAGCUAGUGGUUGACAGUGUAGUCAAGUCAAGGUUUGGAACAGUCAGCAUAGCUCAAUGAGAUUUGGGCCUGCCGGCAUAGAGACAGUGCAAGUGCCUGCUCUGCCAGCAGUGAGCUUGGACAACUGCGCAGGUACCAUAUCCGUAAAACAGAAGGAGAAUGGUUAACUUAGGAGUGGAAAGGCUUGUUGCAUCAGAACUGUGAAGCAAACAGAAUUAAAAUUAGUGAAUGGAAGGUCAUCUUUUGGCUUUCAGCUUGGGAUAUCUUCUGCUAGGCUGCGGGAGAAAUUCCUAUCUACUGGUGUGUCUGUCCCCCCGAAGCUCCAGCUCCUACUAUGCAAGAUGCUGAGUGGGGCCUGGGAGCAUGCCCAGGGCACCUGGUUAUUAGAAGGCCUGUGCAUUUGGUGAAUGCUGAGGCUAAGUCCCACAGGCCUUAAAAGAAUGAUCAAGAGUCAAUUGCUGGAGACUUUAGCAGCAAGCCCCUAAAGAGCUCUUUGAGCAUGUGCAAAUGGUGAUUUUUCAGCAAUUUAUAAUUUGGACAAAUCUCAAUGGAUUUUCAGAGGGACAGUAAAAAGCAUCUGUUCCAAAGGCCAUCCUACUGCUAAACUUUAAGUUCCUUCUCCAAAGAAAUGGUUGGAAUUAAAAACCUCUUCUUCCUAUCCUCAGAAAUGGCUUAUCUUCUUUAGCUGAAACUUCCCAAAAAGAUCUGCCUGCAGCAGACAGCAAAUGUAGAAAACCUUAGCAUAUACUUAACUUGGCAACUGAAACUAGUGUUAAAAUAGAAAAAGUGAUAGGCAACCCUUAAUAGGUGUCACUGCUAGCUUGAUCUGCAGAUGUUCUCAGGCUUCCUAGUUCAUUAGUGUACUCCUACACCCCAUUGAUUUCAGUAGUCUAAAUGCCACUGAAACAAAAGGGUAGUGUUCUUGAUUAUUCAAGUAAUAGGCAUAGGCUUCAGGAGACUAGGACUGUAAUUUCUACCUAUAAUUUAAGAUAUUCACAUUUCCAAAUUUCAAGGACACACAUGACCAAGCAGACUUUCCGUUUCAAUAAUUCAGGAGCAACCCAUACCCUGUGGUGAUAAAAGGUACUAACAGCCAACAAUUAAAAUACAAACCUCUUCAGUGGGAGAAAAGCAGUAGAAGCUUCCCAGAGCCUUGCAUACUCAAGUAAUUUGUUCAUCUGAAACAUACUUAUGGUUUUAAGAAAAGGAGGACUUGUGGCACCUUAGAGAUUAACAAAUUUAUUUGAGCAUAAGCUUUCAUGAGCUACAGCUCACUUCAUUGGCUGCAUGCAGCCACGGCAUGCAUCCGAUGAUGUGAGCUGUAGCUCACGAAAGCUUAUGCUCAAAUAAAUUUGUUAAUCUCUAAGGUGCCACAAGUAGUCCUUUUCUUUUUGCGGAUACAGACUAACACGGCUGCUUCUCUGAAAUUUAUGGUCUUAACAGUGCAUGUAAGUCUCCUGCUGUAAGAAAUUUCUCUUCAAAAUAAAGUUACAAGCAGAUUCUUUACAGGAGAGACAAACCCCCCAAAACGUAGCCACCCCCAAACUGACCUUUAAUGCUUAGACAGAACACUACAGUUUCAAGUUUUAUCUUUUUACUUAACACCCCUGUGUAGGGUUCCCCCUACCCCCCACUUGGAUUUUUCAGAUGCAGUGAUCCGAGUGCAAGACCGCAUUUUAAAGAGAGAGUUUCUUUCAAACAGUAAGCAAAGACAGAAAAUGCUAUAUAACGUAUCUAGAAACAAGUCUGGCUUUGUCUACCACUUUCAUUUCCUUGGUUUAUUACUAGACCCUUGCCUUACCCAUAGCUUUGUUUCUAAUACACAUAUUGUUUGGUUGCUUACUUACCACCAUCCACGAUAAUUUCACAAGUGCAGCAACUCAAUUCCAUUGUGUAAACUGGGUUUUUAAUGAUAAGCAUUAUCACUUCUUUUGAAACAGGAAGGCAGGGAAGGAAUGAUACAAAACUAACUGUUUUGAUACUUCAGUAAGCAACCUCUCCCCUUUGAAAGACAGAAGUGCUCUUGGUCUUGAUCUACGUUUUUCUGAGACCAAUUUCAGACUGUGGCCGCCAUUUUCUUAUUCUAUAAACCAAUAUCUUGAUCUGCUAACACCUUCUCUUCCAGCUGUAGAUGCUGAGUUUAAAAAUGAAUGAAAUGGAGUAACACUGCCUGGCAGAAAGAGAGAUUACCAGUCGUCUCUCCCCCUCCAGAGUUUCAGACUUUCGGCCCUAGAGUGACAUAAUUAAUCCUCAAAACAGCCUGGCUGCAGAUACUGACACCUAAUAGAGUACAAGAGAGAGACUAAAGAAAUUUCCAGACUCAUUGCUCACAUUCAUUGGACAAACAAGAGCUUCAAAAGAGAGCUCAGUACAGGUCUCUGACACCAUGGUAGAAUAUUAGUAUCUACCAGCACUUUGCUACCACCAGCAGAGCUGCAGCAGUGUUCACAACCAUGGGAAAUUUUUCAGAAAAAAUGCUAGUGUAAAAGAUGCCUUGCUUUCCCUGAUCCAUGAAGCUGAAGAUAUAAUUGCUUUCCUUCAGAAAAUACCCCAACCUAGAUUCAGUAGUGGAAGGCCCAAGUCAUGACACCUUGCAAACUUGCUUGAAGAGGCUUAGCAUCUCCAUUCACUUCUGGAAUCAUCUGAAGAUAUGUGGAACCUUUUUGAGAGCACCCUGAAACUACAUAAUGAACUCAGGCAUUGUCUAAAGGUCUUGGUGGUUGUCCCCCCCAGUUUCUUAAUGGCAUCAUGACUGUAGCAAUAUACCUUUUUUUUUUUUUUUUUUUUUUUUUUGAAGUCUCAGGUUGACUUACUAGGUAGUUAGACAUUCUUUCAAGGCUGCAUUUUCCUGUUGACAUUUCACCACCAUAAGAAAGCCAGACUCUUGGCAGCAUUUGGUAAAAGCUGAAAUAUAAAAAAUAGAGAGUUUAGAUUCUUUUAUUAUGGAUCCACAUUAACACAAGUACAAUACACUAUUUUAAAAGAGUAUCUGACUCCCAAAUUGACCUGUUUCUGGCAUUAUGGCAAGCUUGGAACUUUUGUAACUUCAGUAUAGCCAAGCAUUACACUUAGGUCAGUGAUGAGCUUCAUGUAUUUUUUUUAAAGACACAACUGCAGUCUGGCAGAAGUCAAAACUUCUCAUUGAUUUUAGCUGAGCAUCUUAAAAUCUGAUGCUAAACUGUCAGGAGAUUACUACUCUUUUAGCUGUUGCAAAAGCAAGCACAUACACUGUGUGACUAUGGGUAUGUCUAUGCCACAUUGUAAACCGGGGUCUGUGGGGCUUGUGGUCUCUGUGUUUCCAAGCGUGCGCUUGAGUGUCCAUACCAGGUUUAUAAUUGCUGGACCCAGGUCUCUCAGCCAUGCUAACAUGUCCACACUAAAUUUGCAGACCUUCUGACUCAGCUCUGCGAUGUGAACUGCAUCCACACUACAAAAUGACAGGGCUUGGGCCCAAGUCAGAGUGAGACUCAGGCUCUGGUCCAUCCCCUGAGCAGCAUCCUAGGAUCUCGGUCCUGAGUGCUUGCUGACUCGAGUCAAUCUGAUGUGUGUGUGUGGAUGGAUAGAAGGGGGGCUUGAGCUCAAACCUGAGUGAGAGCCUGUGCUUAGUGUGCAGUGUAGACAUACCUAUGUAACUUAAUGUUUACCUUUGAUGUGGAUGAUAAAUAAUCAAGGCCUGAUUUGCCUCUCAAACCAGUUGUACACCAGUUUAAGGCUAUUUAUUUCAAUGGCUACACCUGAUUGUUGCUGCUAGAAGUGAGAGGACUAUGUAUUCCAAACUACACAGUUUAGGAGCACUAUGUGCUGCUUGGCCAAGGUGCUCGUUGAGCAAAGGCUGGUUCCGAGCUCUUGAAUACCAGGUGUCCUCUGCCAAACACAGACCUCACAAACACUCAGCCUGAAUGAUAGAGAGACACCUUUAGUAUCCAACUAAUAAUUUAAUUGGGUCAAAUGCCAUGCAGACAUACCUGUUCUGAUAUUAUCUAAUGUCUAAAUGAUAUGGCUCACUCCCGCAGCCACUAUGAAAUAUAUCCAGAAAUUGCAGUAUGUAUAUUAAGCUGAAUAAACCACUAAUGCUG